AUGUGUCCCUAUGGGGUCCCUAUAGGUCUCUGUGGGUCCCUAUACGUCCCUAUAUCUCUCUAUGGGGUCCCUAUAGGUCUCUAUGGGUCCCUAUGGGGUCCCUAUGGGUCCCUAUGGGGUCCCUAUGGGUCUCUAUGGGUCCCUAUGGGUCUCUAUAGGCCCCUCACCACGAUGUGCACUGCGGGCAGCCCCCUGAGCGCGCUGUCGGGGUCUCUAUGUGUCCCUAUGGGGUCCCUAUGUCUCUCUAUGGGGUCUCUAUGGGUCUCUAUGUCUCUCUAUGGGGUCCCUAUAUCUCUCUAUGGGUCUCUAUGUGUCCCUAUAGGUCUCUUUGGGUCGCUAUGGGUCCCUAUGUCUCUCUAUGGGUCCCUAUGGGGUUCCUAUCUCUCUAUGGGGUCCCUAUAUCUCUCUAUGGGUCCCUAUAGGUCUCUAAGGGUCCCUCUGGGGUCCCUAUGUCUCUCUAUGGGGUCCCUAUAUCUCUCUAUGGGUCCCUAUAGGUCUCUAUGUGUCCCUAUGGGGUCCCUAUAGGUCGCUAUGGGGCAGCUAUAGGUCCCUAUAUCUCUCUAUGGGGUCUCUAUGUGUCCCUAUAGGUCUCUAUGGGUCCCUAUAUCUCUCUAUGGGUCUCUAUGGGUCUCUAUGGGGUCUCUAUGGGUCUCUAUGGGUCCCUAUAGGUCUCUAUGGGUCUCUAUGGGGUCUCUAUGGGUCCCUAUAGGUCUCUAUGGGUCUCUAUGGGGUCUCUAUGUGUCCCUAUGGGGUCCCUAUAGGUCUCUAUGUGUCCCUAUGGGGUCCCUAUAGGUCUCUAUGGGGUCCCUAUGGGUCCCUAUAGGUCUCUAUAGGUCUCUAUGGGGUCCCUAUAGGUCUCUAUGGGUCCCUAUGGGGUCCCUAUAGGUCCCUAUAUCUCUCUAUGGGGUCUCUAUAGGUCUCUAUGUGUCCCUAUGGGGUCCCUAUAUCUCUAUGGGUCUCUAUGGGUCCCUAUAGGUCUCUAUGGGUCCCUAUAUCUAUGGGUCUCUAUGGGGUCUCUAUGGGUCCCUAUGGGGUCCCUAUAGGUCUCUAUGUGUCCCUAUGGGGUCCCUAUAGGUCUCUAUGGGUCCCUAUGGGGUCCCUAUAGGUCUCUAUGGGUCUCUAUGGGGUCCCUAUGGGUCUCUAUAUCUCUCUAUGGGUCCCUAUGUGUCCCUAUAUCCCCUCACCACGAUGUGCACUGCGGGCAGCCCCCUGAGCACGCUGUCGGGGUCUCUAUGGGUCCCUAUGGGGUCCCUAUGUCUCUCUAUGGGGUCCCUAUGUAUCUCUAUGGGUCCCUAUGUGUCUCUAUGGGUCCCUAUGUCUCUCUAUGGGGUCUCUAUGGGUCUCUAUGGGGUCCCUAUGUCUCUCUAUGGGUCCCUAUGGGGUCCCUAUGUAUCUCUAUGGGGUCUCUAUGGGUCUCUAUAGGGUCUCUAUGGGUCUCUAUGGGUCCCUAUGCCUCUCUAUAGGGUCUCUAUAUCUCUCUAUGGGUCUCUAUGGGUCCCUAUGGGUCCCUAUGGGUCUCUAUGGG
ensembl:lncRNA